UUUAAUUAUCCCCGUUUUACAGAUGAAGAAAUAGACAAAGAAUAAAUGACCUGACUGGGGCCACACAGCUAGUUAAGCGUCUGAGGCCAGAUUUCAAGAAGCAAGAACAAGUCAGUUGAAGGCUCAGUGGAGCAAGCUGGGCUUGGAAUCCUGAAGACUUGAGUUCAGAUCCUGCCUCAGACACACCUAGCUACGUGACGCGUGAAUAAUCAAGGAAAAUAAAUGACCACCUUUGCCUGUACAUCUCAAUCUGUAUCUAGAAUGCAUCAUCAGCCCCCACCCCUACCCCUGCCAGAGGUUCGAGAUACAGUAGAAAGAAGAAUGUGCUUGGACAGAAGACCUGAUUUGGAGUCCCUUUAUUAGCUGGGAAAACUAUUUUUUCACCCUAUAUGUUGCUUUCUACCUCCAUUAAAAUGAAAGCUCUCUGAGUGUA